AUUCGCCCUUAGAGUUUGAUCCUGGCUCAGGACGAACGCUGGCGGCGUGCCUAACACAUGCAAGUCGAGCGAAGAGGAGGGAGCUUGCUCCUGAAUCUUAGCGGCGGACGGGUGAGUAACGCGUGAGCAACCUGCCUUUUACUGGGGGAUAACGCAUCGAAAGAUGUGCUAAUACCGCGUAAGACCACAGCAUCGCAUGGUGCAGGGGUCAAAGGAGCAAUCCGGUAGAAGAUGGGCUCGCGUCCGAUUAGCUAGUUGGUGAGAUAACAGCCCACCAAGGCGACGAUCGGUAGCCGACCUGAGAGGGUGAUCGGCCACAUUGGAACUGAGACACGGUCCAGACUCCUACGGGAGGCAGCAGUGGGGAAUAUUGGGCAAUGGGCGAAAGCCUGACCCAGCAACGCCGCGUGAGGGAAGAAGGGUUUCGGCUCGUAAACCUCUGUCCUAUGGGACGAAGAAGUGACGGUACCAUAGGAGGAAGCCCCGGCUAACUACGUGCCAGCAGCCGCGGUAAUACGUAGGGGGCGAGCGUUGUCCGGAAUGAUUGGGCGUAAAGGGCGCGUAGGCGGCCCGUUAAGUCUGGAGUGAAAGUCCUGCUUUCAAGGUGGGAAUUGCUUUGGAUACUGAUGGGCUCGAGUGCAGGAGAGGAAAGCGGAAUUACCGGUGUAGCGGUGAAAUGCGUAGAGAUCGGUAGGAACACCAGUGGCGAAGGCGGCUUUCUGGACUGAAACUGACGCUGAGGCGCGAAAGCGUGGGGAGCAAACAGGAUUAGAUACCCUGGUAGUCCACGCGGUAAACGAUGAGUGCUAGGUGUUGGAGGUAUCGACCCCUUCAGUGCCGCAGUAAACACAAUAAGCACUCCGCCUGGGGAGUACGGCCGCAAGGUUGAAACUCAAAGGAAUUGACGGGGGCCCGCACAAGCAGCGGAGCAUGUGGUUUAAUUCGAAGCAACGCGAAGAACCUUACCAAGUCUUGACAUCCCUCUGACCGGAACUUAACCGUUCCUUUCCUUCGGGACAGAGGAGACAGGUGGUGCAUGGUUGUCGUCAGCUCGUGUCGUGAGAUGUUGGGUUAAGUCCCGCAACGAGCGCAACCCUUAUCUUCAGUAGCCAGCAUUUAGGAUGGGCACUCUGGAGAGACUGCCAGGGAUAACCUGGAGGAAGGUGGGGAUGACGUCAAAUCAUCAUGCCCCUUAUGAUUUGGGCUACACACGUGCUACAAUGACAGGUACAGAGUGAAGCGAACCCGCGAGGGGGGAGCCAACCACAAAAAAGCUGUCUCAGUUCGGAUUGUAGUCUGCAACUCGACUACAUGAAGCUGGAAUCGCUAGUAAUCGCGGAUCAGAAUGCCGCGGUGAAUACGUUCCCGGGUCUUGUACACACCGCCCGUCA
rnacentral:rRNA from 1 species